ensembl:snRNA U2 U2 spliceosomal RNA
AUUGCUUCUUGGCCUUUUGGCUAAGAUCAAGUGUAGAAAGAGAUUGGACAGAGUUAACUUUUUCUCCUAAAUAAAUGUCUACCUUAAUUUUCUCAGGAUUUCCUUAUCUACAGUAAAUUCCUUUAUAUGUCUAGUAAUAUCUACUUCUUACUUCACCACAGGGUGAAGCAUUGGUAUAAAUUGG